AGGUGACAAUGGGAGUCACUCGCUAUAGGGCACUCCUCAGAAACUCCUCUAUGACAGUUCUGGAUGACAAAAAUUCAGUUCCCGCGUGAAAAUGGAAACAGCUGCUGUUGACACUGAAGUUACAACUCAUUGUACUUUUAAUUUAAGCUAAUUAAACACAUUUGGG